CCAGACUCCUACGGGAGGCAGCAGUGAGGAAUAUUGGUCAAUGGCCGAGAGGCUGAACCAGCCAAGUCGCGUGAGGGAAGACGGCCCUACGGGUUGUAAACCUCUUUUGUCGGGGAGCAAAGCGAGUCACGUGUGACUCAUUGAGAGUACCCGAAGAAAAAGCAUCGGCUAACUCCGUGCCGGCAGCCGCGGUAAUACGGAGGAUGCGAGCGUUAUCCGGAUUUAUUGGGUUUAAAGGGUGCGCAGGCGGGGAGUUAAGUCAGCGGUAAAAUUUGGGGGCUCAACCCCGACAAGCCGUUGAAACUGGCUUGCUAGAGUGGGCGAGAAGUAUGCGGAAUGCGUGGUGUAGCGGUGAAAUGCAUAGAUAUCACGAAGAACUCCGAUUGCGAAGGCAGCUUACCAGUCUGCGACUGACGCUCAGGCACGAAAGUGUGGGUAUCGAACAGGAUUAGAUACCCCAGUA
rnacentral:rRNA from 1 species